UACCUGGUUUUUGACGAAAGCCAAAACGGAUUCAGCUACACACACUUAUGCUUACCUGUGUUUUACUCUGUACAAAAGGGUAGGUUGUAUUCGGUUCACGGGCACAUUCCUCACAAAGCAGUACAACAGUGCAGUGGCGUUUCGUUAGAAAAUAUAAUUAUUAGAUUAAGUUUGGAAAGCUUGUUGAUUAUAUAAUUGUUUAAAAUGGAAGUGCAGUGAAUGGCCACUCGAUAAAGUGAGACAAUCCUAACGACAGGGGGCUUGAUAUUUGUUUUCGAGCCCUUAAAAUACCACGUUGUUAGGCACAACGCAAACAUGGCUGCCGUCGCCAUUUGUGACUUGGUUCUUAUGCCGAAAAAGUUUGGGUUGGGGAUGUUAUAUUUUGCUGCUGAGCAGAUAACUUAGCUGGAAAUUAUGCUGGCAAAGCAUUUGAGUUACCUAAUUAAACAUGUCGGCUCUGGAAACUUGGUCUUCUAGUUACAUCGGUCGACAUAACUGAUGAAAAAACUACAAUGGUAUGCUGGAAAUUGGUACAGUAAUAAUUACUGGCACCAUCAGAGGUGCCUUCAACUGUUCGAAAAACCGUAAAAUCAUCUUAAAAUCUAAAAAAAAACUCUCCGUGAUUUAAAAAAAAAAUCGUUGCACAGGCAAAAUUUGCACACGUUUUAGCACAUACUGCGAAUCAAUAAGAAUCUGCGUUCUGCAAACAAAUCUGCACAUAUGGUCUGGCACGAUUCCAAGUGUUUAAAAUACAAACACGGUUAGCGCCGCCAUUUUUGCUCGGUUUGAGUAUCGUGCGUAAACCACGCCUGGCAAAAAAAAUUGACAGGCAUUCAAUCAAGGGUUAGGCGUGCGAAAGAAGAUGGAGGCACCGUGCCGUGUCAAUCAUCGCUACCGGACAGCCGACACAAGGUGAACUGAAGCCGGAAACUACGGUCAGCUUGGUUUGUUACUUACUAGUAAGAUUUUCGGGCUAAAUUUUUUAGGUCACUUGUUCAAUUUUCUAUAACUGUAAACAUCGUUUGACAUCGUUUUGAAAUGAAAUCAAACGCGUUUAUAGUUUUGGUAAAUGAUAUACGAAAAACAGACUGUAUCUCGAUAUAGUGCGGUUAGACGUAGUCCUACGUCAAAAAGUUAGUAACGGUUAACUGCAUAAAGAGGCUUUGAUAAAUUUCAAUUUUCAGUGUUCGUUACAUUCAGAGUUCGUUUGUUCGCACUGCAUUGCAGAAGACAGUUACCAUCGCUUGAAUCAAAACCCUUACGCCUGAACUACGAAAGAUCUGUCUUUAACAGCAUUAGCUUCGUUAUAUUUUCUUAACUAUUUUCCAAAAAUUACAAUAUGCAAUACUAAUUUGGAAAGAUAACUUUUCCUGACCCAGUUUGUUUAACAGAAGAUGUUUGAGAACCGUGAUAUUAUCACUACGGAAUAUUAUUUUUGAACACUAUCCAGCAGCCGGAAGAAUCAAGAAUAUCCGGUUCGAAGGGCCAAAAUGUUGGGCUUAAAGCCUUUUUUCAACGGUGGCUUUUUCACUUAUACUUCCAAGCACUUCAUUCAUUUUUUUAAACUACGUGCACGUUUGUCUGCCACCCGAUCGCGGUCCUUAACGAAUUGUUUCUCUCGACGGUUCAUAGUUGUCUGGUGAACGUGAGUAUAACUUGAAGAAGUCUAUUCGUUAUUUUCGUAGAUUUCGAUGGGAAUACUAACUGUUGUAGAAUUUAGUAAACGUUCAGCGUCAAUGCAACCAAUUCUAUCGUCCGAAUUUGAUGACUGGCCAGAAGCCUCUGCAAUACGCAUGACUUGAGCGUAGUAUAGCUGGUUCAUGUUAUGUAUAAAUGCUAUAUUUUCUGCGAUUGUCAUUGAAAUACCAAACCAGUUGAUUUCUUUAUGACUACUUGCCUCUCACUUGAAUUUCUCAAUAUUUUCUAUUUCCUAUUCGUAUACUUAGACGUCGAAGUGAUUGAUACUGAGCCAUGCUUCUGCAGGCCGGGAGGUGAUCAAAAUAACUUCAUUUCUAUGUUUGAAAGAGACAACAAUAUGAUUCCGUUUAUUGUCGGAAGGGUGUUCGCUGCCUCGAAUAUCAGUUGUCUUUUAUUGACAUUUGUGUCGGUCGGGUUGGUUUUUUGGACUGAGGACAACCUAUAGAUGGGUCGUAUCUCCGUGCUUGUUUCCACUAUUAUUUUUGUGUCGCUUUCUGCUAAUUUUUUUAACAAUGACUCUUGCUGGAGUGUUUUCACUAGCGCGAUUGUAUUAUUGUUUUUCACUAUUGUCACUGUUUUUUUCGCCGAUAGGCUUUCUAAUGUUUCCCGUAGAUUGUUCAUUUUUUUUCAUGUUGUACGUAUUUGGUCCACUUAUCUUCUUAUUGUUCGGUCACUUCUCCACCAUUACAUUGGCGAGUGACACUGCACUUUUCACUACUUGGUGUGUUCUUAGUCUCUCGUGCCUUAUCACUGCACGUAGAGGUAUAUACGCCAAAUCUGCUAGCAGGAGUCCGAUAGUCACAUAGGCUAGUGUUGUAGUCGCUGUCGCGGUUUGCUCUAAGUGCGUGUUCUGUGCCACGUUAUUGUUUAUAAUUUUAAUCACUUCCUCGUGGACACCCGGAGGUUUCCCCGUUAAUGGCACAUCCCCAUUCUAGCGUUGGAAAGUUCACUUUAGAUUCACUAACUGUUUAUUACUUUUGCACGGUUUCGUGCCACUGUUGUCGGUCGCCAUGAGCCAUGUCUCUGCAUGCCGGGAGGUGAUCAAAAUAAUAACUUCAUUUCUAUGUUUGCAAGAGUUGUCGAUAGCCAGUUUGAGUGAACUCUUGCUGGGUCGGGCUUUAUGUAAGAAAUCAUACAUUUAUUUUCUGUCGUUUCCUAUUUAUAGGUACAUCGAGUAUCAUACUUCCUGAUUGGGCUGAUGUCAAUAAUAUUUGUUUGGGUUUUUUCGGUAAAUAAACAUUAGGUCUGGCAGCCGGUACGGUAUUCGUUGAGUGAGAGAGACACAAAGGCUUCUUUGGGUGCAAUUAUAACUUGCUGCCUGUACUAUGGUUUACUAAGGGUUUUUCUGCUGUUGGCUGUCUAUUAUAUUGUUACUGGUUUUUCCUAUACUACCAUACCAAAUCGCUGUAAUUUCACAAUAUUACAAUAUGCAUUACAAAUUUAAGAAAAAAAGGUUAUUCGUUUGUCUACUGGUCUUUUUUCAGUUUGAGCUCGUAUAGUUGUGGAAGGAGAUUUUUGACUCUGUUGUAGAAGUCUGUGUAUUCCAUUGCACUACUGUACCACUUCUGAUACCACUUUGGAUUGGGUCUUCAACGCAUCAGAAUUUAAUGCACAAUUCUAAUUAUAAAUUACCAAAUCCAUUAAGGGCGUUUGGUAAUGAUUGUAACUCAGCAGUGUGCGAUCCCACUUCUGACACCAUAAAUGAAAAAAAACCUAAUUGUCUUUUCGUAUACUUGCACGUUGAAGUGAUUAAUAUCAAAUCGUUGUAAUUUCACAAUAUUACAAUAUGCAUUACAAAUUUAAGGAAAACCGCGCUACCAUCGAGCGAUUUGUGACUUAAUACAUUGGUCAAGGAAACUGCAUUCCUGAUGUUCUGGGUCGUCUUGAGCUUAAUUAUAGCCCGCAUGAGCACGUAAACUAGUACGAGCACUAUUGCGGCUAUCGUCACAAAUGUUGUUGUUUGCGAACCGUGAUAUUAUCACUACGGAAUAUUAUUUUUAAACAUCUUUCGCUUCCCGGAAACGUCAAGAUUAUCCGGUUCGAAGGGCCAAAAUGUUGGGCUAAAACCGCUGUCACCAAUAUGUAGGGCAACUCCUGUUGCCCUAUCAGGAAUUGUGAUACUUUGUGCGAAGAAAUCUACACCGAACCACGAAUUCCUGUACGCACGGUCACACGGCCGUGCGGAAUCUCAUUUACUUAACGAUUGAUUUUUGGCUUACAUGUGAACUUACGGCUAACCCUAGAGUGUAUUACGCGAGAGACAAUUUCCCUUCGCGAAAUCACUACCUAUCCUCAUUACCCUAAUGGCAUUUUCUCGGCCUGUCUCUAUUUUAGAACACUUAAUUUAAAUCUACUGAGAGUGGUGCGCUCGUCACUCUAUCUUGUUUACAAACUCACUUCUCGCGCGUCGAUGAGUUACCGACCCAUCAAGUAUCCAACCUCGGGCUUUGUUUAGUUUUAAUAUAAUUUGCUUACGGGUGUCGGUUUUUGUCACCCAAGCCAAACGGAGUUCGUUGGCCGUGCCAACGUCGAAAAGAAUGCGGUAGAUUAAUGUGACGGAACCCUGUAGGCAUCUACGGGACGCGCGGGGGCCGUUACACUGUCACGGUCGCCAUGUGUGAGGACCUUCUAUGUAUAAUAGUGAAACCUACUCUUACAGGCGGACUUAGAUAGAUUCGCGGUGCGCUUGGAGGUUUCUCAACCUUCGCUUCGCAAUAGUCUUUAGGCAUAAGCCAUCAGGGUUGCAUAUUGAGUAAACUUACUUCGGAGUAGUCGGGCUCUGAGUGAGUCAUUGAAGUCUCUCUUAAUGACGGUUUUCUUUUUUACCUAAACAUACGUGAACAUUUAUUAACAUUUACUCAACGACAGCGGGGGUGACGAGUGAGAACGCAUUCUUUUGCAUUGCUUCCGGUGAUAGCUUUUAGGAUAAUGAACAAACAUUAUUGAUAUCCGCUUGGGUCGGUUUAUUUAUACUACCCAAGUUGUUAAACACAGGAUGUUUGUCAACCGUGAUAUUAUCACUACGGAAUAUUAUUUUUAAACACCUUUCACCAACCGGAAGAGUCAAAAUUAUCCGGUUCGAAGGGCCAAAAUGUUGGGCUAAAAGUCUUUUUUUUGUAUGUGUAAUCGUUCUGUUACGGUCGCCAUGUAGUAGUACGGUUCUACCAUUGAAACUUUCGCACGUUAUAGUCAUAUUUGGACACUGAGAUUUAUUUCACUGAUUUCACUGAUUACAAAACGGUGUUUCAAAAGGUACACCUCGUCGCAGAUUACGCCUGGAAUCUUCUUAUAUUAUCUUUUAUCUAUAUUCUUGUUUUAUUGCCUUUGCUAUUUCCCUUAAUUUUUGGAUAGGCAUUUAGCAAGCAAUAAAGAAAAAGUAUGUCUUUUAUGUAUUUACAUAUAUAUUUUUGUUAUAGUCAUUACAAAAGUUGAAUAUUUUGUAUCGUCACCUUUUUUCCCACUUAUUGUUUCGGGCCUCAAUGAUGAGUUAAUGAUGAGCUUACCGAUCCUGGGCCUUUUUAGUUUCUGCGCCUGCUUCUGGAUGAAUUCUAUGUCCAGUUGUUUCCGGACUCCCCAAUGGCAGUUAGCUUGUCUCUGCUGGUGCUGCUGACCCGAAGCUGGUUGGUCACUAGUUGAUUUCUGUCUGCUGCUAGCUCGGCUAACGUUGCCUGAUGUUCUGCUUUUACUCUGCUAUCUCGUUGUUUUUUCAUUCUGCAUAGUGCCUCAGUUUUAAGUCCUUUAAUAUAGCACUUUUUCCCCGAUAACGUUUGGAUUUUACUGUGCUGAUCCGUUGCUUCGUUAGUAUGCGGCGCCAAAUAUCGUUCCGCCGAUUCUGAGGAUAAGCGCCUUGUGGUGCGUUAUUACACCAAAUUUUGUGGACAAUAAUAAGAUUCCGUUUAUUGUCGGGGGGGUGUUCGUUGCCUCGAAUAUCAGUUGUCUUUUAUUGACAUUUGUGUCGGUCGGGUUGGUUUUUUGGACUGAGGACAACCUAUAGAUGGGUCGUAUCUCCGUGCUUGUUGUUUCCACUAUUAUUUUUGUGUCGCUUUCUGCUAAUAUUUUUAACAAUGACUCUUGCUGGAGUGUUUUCACUAGUGCGAUUGUAUUAUUGUUUUUCACUAUUGUCACUGUUUUCUUCGCCGAUAGGCUUUCUAAGGUUUCCCGUAGAUUGUUCAUUUUUUUUCAUGUUGUACAUAUUUGGUCCACUUAUCUUCCUAUUGUUCGGUCACUUCUCCACCAUUACAUUGGCGAGUGACACUGCACCUUUCACUACUUGGUUUGUUCUUAGUCUCUCGUGCCUUUGGGUUUGGGUUCAAUUAAAAUCACUUUGCAAUCCGAUGAUUGCAGGCACUGUCGGAACGGUCGCCAUGAGGGUUGUUUGGUUGCUAUUGCGAAGUUGAUUAUAUGAUGUUGAAUUCGCGGCGGACUAUGAAGAAAGUGUUCUUUCCAGCAAUUGCCGUCUGGUCGUAGGGUUGAAAGUUGAAAUACAACGAUACUUAGUCGCUGCUACACUUUACUGCUGGAGUAGUCGACCUUCUGGUCGAACUCCAAACAAGUAAUCAUAAUUUUAUUCAAAUCAAGAUUUCCUUGUAUAGCUAAACAUAGGUAAACAUUUACUUUUAUUUCUGCGACAACUAACUCACAUUAUUCGAAUACUCAUCGAAUCUCUGGUGUCUUUUAGAACAAGUGGGGGAUGUCCGACUGCUUACCAACAACUGGAAUUUCUCAAUAUUUUCUAUUUCCUAUUCGUAUGCAGAAUGAUCAGCCAGCGUGAUUGAUACCAAAACCAUUGUAAUUUCACAAUAUUACAAUAUGCAUUACAAAUUUACCCCAAAAAAAAAUUGUUGCGGUGAUUUUGGUUUGGCUUUCGGAUAGCAUGACUUAACUCGAGUUGUUCGAGUUUAUAUAUAUAUAUAUAUAAGCUAAUCGCGUGAGCCAUUUUUGCUUGAUUUUGUAAUUUUUCGUACUUUAAUAACAGCCUAUACACCGUGUAUAGGGCUGUCGCUAUUAUUAGUGCUAGCGCAACGUACGCUAGCAUCGUAAGUGCUUCAGCACUUCGCGCUCUAUGUUCGAUUGUUUUUGCACUUCCUAUGUUUAUUAAAUUCACUAGCUGUUCUUGUGUUAUGCUAUUUGGGGUCGACUGUUCGUUCCCCAUUUUUCCAGUUUGGUGGUAGGCUCUCUUUUUUCAACUUUUAUACUUUGGUACACUCCAUUCAAGCACACAGUUCUCGUUCAUAAACGUCGAUUACUUGAGCCAUCACAAUGUUUGCGAAUCGUGAUAUUAUCACUACGGAAUAUUAUUUUUAAACACCUUUCACCAUCCGGAAGAGUCAAGAUUAUCCGGUUCGAAGGGCCAAAAUGUUGGACUUAAAGUUAUGUUGAAUUGAGUAGUUUUCGGUGUAGCAUUAAGUAACAUUCAGUAUGGAGGUUCGUACUAGAAUCAUUUUUGUUUCAUUUGUUCGUACAAACAUCCGACGGAUUGCGACAUUUCGAAAACAAAUUUAUGACCGCGACUUGUAUUUCAAUUUUUGACAUGUAAACAAAGCGUGCUCUGAUUACACGACUAAAAAAAAGUUCACCCGUUUGUGUGUAACAACGUGUUAAAUGUUAAUGAUAGCAGCAAGUGACCGCCCUUGUUGGUCAAAGUUUCAAUUUUACUUACUUUGAGUUUCGAUUUUAUUUAUUUUAAUGUGUUGAAACUUUGCUAGCACUUCAAUUGUUGCAAUAAUGUCUGGUAUAUUUAUCAAAUAGCACGUGUUUUUUGUUUUUUAAAUGUUCAUGCAUUUUUCACUUUUCAACUUUAUAGUUAAAUGAAUAAUGCAUAAAUCGACAUGUUAUUAGGGGGCUUAAAAAUGUUAUUCAGGGUGGUUAUUAAUUAACCAUUUAUUGAAAUUGAUCUGUUUUGUCUGCUACAGUAUCUCCCCAUUCUUAACUCAACUUUCUUAGAACUGUUACUUAUUAGUGACGAUGCCAGCAGAGUGGCUAAUUUUAUGAAAUACGGAGCGCAUCCGCUUGUCACGGUCGCCAUGUUGCAGCAAAGUCGUUUCGCCACGUGAUAUUAUCACUACGGAAUAUUAUUUUUACGAACCAGUAUCCUACGUGUCUACGGAGGCAGUUAUCCGGUUCGAAGGGCCAUGUUUGGCGCUUGCCGCAUUUUAUUUCUAAGAGUUCUUUUACACCCAAAACAAACGGAAAAGAUUUCAUACGAUUUCUACGUUUAUUAUUUCUUUUUCAAUAACAAUAAACUAUUCAUUUAGGCGGUACAAUCAAGAAUCAAUUUGUUAAUCGAUUCUAAAGCGGUUCGAAGUCGAAUCCCAAAAUUAAAGUUACAUAUGUGGUAGGGGCCUGAACGCGCACACUUUAUUGAUAACGGUUUUGUGCAGCCAGUCGGACUACGCACACUAAAACAAAAUAAACAUCGGUCGUUGUUCGACUUUCAAGUGCUUAUUGUGUCUUUUGGUUGUGAUUUAGGUCACUCUGUUGGUGGUCUGAUAUGUUUCACUUAGUGAGGGAAAACCCAACUACUUUCUUCGAAGUCCCAGUCGGGAUUAAUUUAUGGAAAUCGAACUUAAUUCUAAGUCACUUCUUGGAGUCUAGCGUAAAGUUUUUUGUAAGUCUCUGCAAGUAACGCCGCGCUACGUGGUUUGAGUGAAAAAUGUAUUUCAUUGAUUUACAGUGACGGCCACAUUAAUAGUUACCUAAAAGCAUUCUUAUGUUUUAUUUUGUUUUAGUGCAUACUUAUACGUUUGUUUGGAGGAUACCAACCCUUUAAUUUCACAAUAUUACAAUAUGCAUUACAAAUUUAAAAAAAAAUGUCUAUUCGUGCCGCUGCAUUACACACGCUCUAGCUAUUCACACACGCCUAGGCUCACUUGACAGUCAUCCGCUCUUUGCGAAGCGGCUCAUUGAAUAAAGUGAAAGUUGAUUGUUAGGCUUCGGCGGGGGAUUCGCGGCGGACUAGAUAAGGGGAUGGUCUUUUUCUGCAAUUUCUGCGACAACUGAGGUGACGAGUGAGAACGCACUUCUUUGCGUUGUUUUUUGGCGAUGGGUUUUUUCGAUGAAAAACAAACCUUAUUGUUAUGUGCAUGGGUUGCGCUAUGUGCUGAGUUGGUAGGUAGGGAAAUCAUAGGGCCAUACAGAAGGUGUGGUCCGUAGGGAAUUCCGUUUGUUGUUGUUCAUCGGUUUUACCGUUGCGCUACUGACUGACGCAUUUGUUAACAUUGAUCUUUUGAACACCACUACGUUCUGUGAUACUUAUUUCGGAAAACUGGAAACGUACAGUCGCCCACACAGGGGUGCUCAGUUUGUACAAUUUGCAAAAACGUAUGUUCUUUUACUGAAUGAUUUAUUUAAUUUUUUAUCAUUUGUAACAUUUUAUUUCCAGUUUCAGUUUUAUUUACUGUUACUUGUUCACCGACCACCGAGGGCUACAAAUUCAUUGCCACACGGUCGCCUUAUGAUAUAACUUAUUUGAACUAGUGGAUGCUGUAGCUUUAACAAGCGAACGCUGAAAUAAGCUUUAUUGCUGUGGGCAGUUGCAUUCGUUUAUAUUACGAGAUGGGGCUUGCUAACAUGUGCAUUCCAUAGCCACUCAAAUUCCGAAAAAAAUCCUAUUAACAUACUUGUAAAUUUAGUUUGAAAGAUACUAACACUUUUAAUUUCACAAUAUUACAAUAUGCAUUACAAAUUUGAAAAUACUACCAUCUUGCUGGAGGCAGUAGUAAUCGUCUUCAAACAAUUGUUAAUGGUACAUCUUGUCCUUUGUAGCUUUGGUAAACCCAUGAACCACCUGUUUUUUGUACGGUGUAUGUUUUAAAUCCUUGCGCAGAAGCAGGCGGAUUGAUUCUUGGUUCAUUUUAAGGUUCCUGGCCAGCUUCCGUGCAGAUUGGGCGGGAUUCCGGCGAAUCCGGUCUCGUAUAAUCUUUUUCAGCCUUGGAGUUCUCACAGACCUUGAUCGUCCAGAUCGUGCCUUGUUCUCGGUGCCUCCGGUCUCUAGGUACCGAUUUAUGGUCCACACACUUAGGCUCACUUCACAGUCAUCCGCUCUUUGCGAUGCGGCUCAUUAAAUAAAGUGAAAGUUCGAGGGUAGUCUUGAAGGUAGAUUUGGACCGGAAAGUUCUUUCACCAGGCAGUAACCAUCAGGCCUUAACCGUACGGGCUACAAGUGAUAACACUUUUACUUAUAAGAGUAGCCGAAUGAUUUACAGUGACGGUCACAUUAAUAGUGACCUCAAAGCAUUAUUAUGUUUUAUUUUUUUUUUUAUUCUCACUUAUUUUCCGUCGGUCUAGUUCCGCCACUGUUGUGGCCAAUCACCGACGCCCAGGGAGGCGACUCCACACCCAGGACCCUAACUCACGACCCGUUUAUUAACGGACCGGCGCCAACGGCUUUACUUCCUCAUGCGAUGGAAGGCGUGAUCCCAGAGAUUUUUCGCCUCAGAAAAUCUCCCGGUGUCGGCUAGGAUUGAAUCUAGCCCAGUUGGGUUGGUUGUGAGUGGAUCACGCCACCUCACAACCAUCGACACCUAUGUCGGCGGUGGGAUUCGAACCCAGGCGUCGAGCGUGGUUGGCGGAGACGUUACCAACCACACUAGGCCCCCGCUCGUGUGUUUUAUUUUGUUUUAGUGAAUAUUGAUACGUUUGUUUGGAGGAUACCAACCCUUUAAUUUCACAAUAUUACAAUAUGCAUUACAAAUUUGAAAAUACUAAUUAUCCAUGCCGCUGCACUACACACGCUAUUAGCACAUUCACGACUAGGCUCACUUGACAGACAUCCGCUCUUUGCAACCCACACCAACCCCUAAGGGGCCAUCCA